UACGUAGGGUGCGAGCGUUAAUCGGAAUUACUGGGCGUAAAGCGUGCGCAGGCGGUGAUGUAAGACAGAUGUGAAAUCCCCGGGCUCAACCUGGGAACUGCAUUUGUGACUGCAUGGCUAGAGUUUGGCAGAGGGGGGUAGAAUUCCACGUGUAGCAGUGAAAUGCGUAGAUAUGUGGAGGAACACCGAUGGCGCAAGGCAGCCCCCUGGGUCGAGACUGACGCUCAUGCACGAAAGGCGUGGGGAGCAAACAGG
rnacentral:rRNA from 1 species